rnacentral:tRNA from 1 species
AUUUAUAUAGUUUAUUUUAAAACAUUAUAUUUUCAAUAUAAAAAUAAUUUAUAAAAAUUUAUAAAUU